GUCGAGCGAUUCUCUUCGGAGAAGAGCGGCGGACGGGUGAGUAACGCUGUGGGUAACCUGCCCUAUACACACGGAUAACAUACCGAAAGGUAUGCUAAUACGGGAUAACAUAAGAGAUUCGCAUGGAUUUCUUAUCAAAGCUCCGGCGGUAUAGGAUGGACCCGCGUCUGAUUAGCUAGUUGGUAAGGUAACGGCUUACCAAGGCGACGAUCAGUAGCCGACCUGAGAGGGUGAUCGGCCACAUUGGAACUGAGACACGGUCCAAACUCCUACGGGAGGCAGCAGUGGGGAAUAUUGCACAAUGGGCGAAAGCCUGAUGCAGCAACGCCGCGUGAGCGAUGAAGGCCUUCGGGUCGUAAAGCUCUGUCCUCAAGGAAGAUAAUGACGGUACUUGAGGAGGAAGCCCCGGCUAACUACGUGCCAGCAGCCGCGGUAAUACGUAGGGGGCUAGCGUUAUCCGGAAUUACUGGGCGUAAAGGGUGCGUAGGUGGUUUCUUAAGUCAGAGGUGAAAGGCUACGGCUCAACCGUAGUAAGCCUUUGAAACUGAGAAACUUGAGUACAGGAGAGGAGAGUAGAAUUCCUAGUGUAGCGGUGAAAUGCGUAGAUAUUAGGAGGAAUACCAGUUGCGAAGGCGGCUCUCUGGACUGUAACUGACACUGAGGCACGAAAGCGUGGGGAGCAAACAGGAUUAGAUACCCUGGUAGUCCACGCCGUAAACGAUGAGUACUAGCUGUCGGAGGUUACCCCCUUCGGUGGCGCAGCUAACGCAUU
rnacentral:rRNA from 1 species